rnacentral:rRNA from 1 species
CCUGAACGCUGGCGGCGUGGUUAAGACAUGCAAGUCGCACGGAGGUAGCAAUACCUCAGUGGCGAACGGGUGAGUAAUGAAUCGCUAAUGUACCCCGGACUCUGGGACAGCUGCCCGAAAGGGCAGGUAAUACCAGAUGACAUACCCCGUCGGCAUCGACGGGGUCUCAAAGGUCCGCCGGUCUGGGCGCAGGCGAUUUCGUAUCAGCUAGUUGGUGCGGGUAACGGCCCACCAAGGCGACGACGCGUAGCUGGACUGAGAGGUUGGCCGGCCACAUCGGGACUGAGACACUGCCCGGACUCCUACGGGGGGCUGCAGUAACGAAUCUUCCCCAAUGCGCGCAAGCGUGAGGGAGCGACGCCGCGUGUGGGACGAAGUCCUC